rnacentral:lncRNA from 1 species
GCAACAGGAGAUGAUAAUGGAGAGCCUUGCUUGGUGUUCUUUCCUGGCUACUUGGUGCUCUCUGGGCCACCAGAAAGACAAAUCUUACAGUCUACAGGAGGAACUUACAAAGAAGGUUCCCUCAGCAGUGCUUUUUCAACCCUACGGAUUCAUCCUUUCUCCAAGAAAACAGUGUUGCCAAGCGGAACGAGCGCAGACCUGGG